ACGAACGCUGGCGGCGUGCUUAACACCUGCAAGUCGAACGGAAAGGCCCUGCUUUUGUGGGGUGCUCGAGUGGCGAACGGGUGAGUAACACGUGAGUAACCUGCCCUUGACUUUGGGAUAACUUCAGGAAACUGGGGCUAAUACCGGAUAGGAGCUCCUGCUGCAUGGUGGGGGUUGGAAAGUUUCGGCGGUUGGGGAUGGACUCGCGGCUUAUCAGCUUGUUGGUGGGGUAGUGGCUUACCAAGGCUUUGACGGGUAGCCGGCCUGAGAGGGUGACCGGCCACAUUGGGACUGAGAUACGGCCCAGACUCCUACGGGAGGCAGAAGUGGGGAAUAUUGCACAAUGGGCGGAAGCCUGAUGCAGCAACGCCGCGUGCGGGAUGACGGCCUUCGGGUUGUAAACCGCUUUCGCCUGUGACGAAGCGUGAGUGACGGUAAUGGGUAAAGAAGCACCGGCUAACUACGUG
rnacentral:rRNA from 1 species